AACGUAGGAGGCGAGCGUUAUCCGGAUUUACUGGGCGUAAAGCGCGCGCAGGCGGCUUGGUGAGUCGGACAUGAAAGCUCCUGGCUUAACUAGGAGAGGCUGUUCGAUACUGCUGGGCUUGAGGUUGGGAGAGGGGUGUGGAAUUCCCGGUGUAGUGGUGGAAUGCGUAGAUAUCGGGAGGAACACCUGUGGCGAAAGCGGCACCCUGGCCCACACCUGACGCUGAGGUGCGAAAGCGUGGGUAGCAAACAGG
rnacentral:rRNA from 1 species